rnacentral:rRNA from 1 species
UAGGGAAUAUUGCUCAAUGGGGCGAAAGCCUGAAGCAGCAACGCCGCGUGGAGGAUGACACUUUUCGGAGCGUAAACUCCUUUUGUUGGGGAAGAAACUUGACGGUACCCAACGAAUAAGCACCGGCUAACUCCGUGCCAGCAGCCGCGGUAAUACGGAGGGUGCAAGCGUUAAUCGGAAUAACUGGGCGUAAAGGGCAUGCAGGCGGUUCAUCAAGUAGGAUGUGAAAUCCCCGGGCUCAACCUGGGAACAGCAUACUAAACUGGUGGACUAGAGUAUUGCAGGGGGAGACGGAAUUCCAGGUGUAGCGGUGGAAUGCGUAGAUAUCUGGAAGAACACCAAAGGCGAAGGCAGUCUCCUGGGCAAAUCUGACGCUCAUAUGCGAAAGCGU